UACUGUGGAGCUUCCAAACUGGUGCUGUGGAGCUUGGAAGGCACCUCUGGUGCCUAAGUUCCCGCACCCAUCCCCACUCCUAUAGUGGCCCAGAGGAGAACAGAUGCUGAGAUGGAGUUUCCAGAGCAAGGUGCUUAGGAGAUCAGCAUUCGAGAAGAGAAGGAAAGGGCAGCAGAUAGGGCAGAAGAAGAUGCAAACCUACAUACGAUGCCAGCUCACUAAGGCUUGGCCAACAUGGCUGGAAGAGAUGAAGGGUAUAGUACCUACCAAUACAACCCUGAAGGGGCAUCUCCUUUACUCAGAGAAGCUGGACUAUCUUGGGAAGAGUGUGACUUCAUGUGGAGAUUAGCUGAUGGCUGGAAAAGAUCAACUGUUUACAGUCAGCGUCAUGUGUCCUUCUUUGAAGCAGAAGCUGGACAGAGACUGGAGUCCUCACUAUGGAUAUGAACACUGGGGAGGGCAUAGGGAAACCCAUGGGAGGAAAGGAUUUAUAGGGGUAGCACACACAAAAUCUGUCUUAAUCCAUACUCAUGUAUGAUUUGAAA